GAUGAACGCUGGCGGCGUGCCUAAUACAUGCAAGUCGAGCGAACAGACGAGGAGCUUGCUCCUCUGACGUUAGCGGCGGACGGGUGAGUAACACGUGGAUAACCUACCUAUAAGACUGGGAUAACUUCGGGAAACCGGAGCUAAUACCGGAUAAUAUAUUGAACCGCAUGGUUCAAUAGUGAAAGACGGUUUUGCUGUCACUUAUAGAUGGAUCCGCGCCGCAUUAGCUAGUUGGUAAGGUAACGGCUUACCAAGGCAACGAUGCGUAGCCGACCUGAGAGGGUGAUCGGCCACACUGGAACUGAGACACGGUCCAGACUCCUACGGGAGGCAGCAGUAGGGAAUCUUCCGCAAUGGGCGAAAGCUUGACGGAGCAACGCCGCGUGAGUGAUCAAGGUCUUCGGAUCGUAAAACUCUGUUAUUAGGGAAGAACAAAUGUGUAAGUAACUAUGCACGUCUUGACGGUACCUAAUCAGAAAGCCACGGCUAACUACGU
rnacentral:rRNA from 1 species